rnacentral:rRNA from 1 species
UACGUAGGUGGCAAGCGUUGUCCGGAAUUAUUGGGCGUAAAGCGCGCGCAGGUGGUUUCUUAAGUCUGAUGUGAAAGCCCACGGCUCAACCGUGGAGGGUCAUUGGAAACUGGGGAACUUGAGUGCAGAAGAGGAAAGUGGAAUUCCAAGUGUAGCGGUGAAAUGCGUAGAGAUUUGGAGGAACCCCAGUGGCGAAGGCGACUUUCUGGUCUGUAACUGACGCUGAGGCGCGAAAGCGUGGGGAGCAAACAGG